rnacentral:rRNA from 1 species
GGCGAACGCUGGCGGCGUGCUUAACACAUGCAAGUCGAACGGAAAGGCCCUGCUUUUGUGGGGUGCUCGAGUGGCGAACGGGUGAGUAACACGUGAGUAACCUGCCCUUGACUUUGGGAUAACUUCAGGAAACUGGGGCUAAUACCGGAUAGGAGCUCCUGCUGCAUGGUGGGGGUUGGAAAGUUUCGGCGGUUGGGGAUGGACUCGCGGCUUAUCAGCUUGUUGGUGGGGUAGUGGCUUACCAAGGCUUUGACGGGUAGCCGGCCUGAGAGGGUGACCGGCCACAUGGGGACUGAGAUACGGCCCAGACUCCUACGGGAGGCAGCAGUGGGGAAUAUUGCACAAUGGGCGGAAGCCUGAUGCAGCAACGCCGCGUGCGGGAUGACGGCCUUCGGGUUGUAAACCGCUUUCGCCUGUGACGAAGCGUGAGUGACGGUAAUGGGUAAAGAAGCACCGGCUAACUACGU